UCGAAAACCCCUUCCUGGGGUUUUCAGCCAGAAACGCCCGGCCUCCGUAGCACGGAUCUGCCGGGCGUUUUUUUGCCUGCA
rnacentral:sRNA from 1 species